rnacentral:rRNA from 1 species
AGUGAACGCUGGCGGUAGGCCUAACACAUGCAAGUCGAACGGCAGCACAGUAAGAGCUUGCUCUUACGGGUGGCGAGUGGCGGACGGGUGAGGAAUACAUCGGAAUCUACUUUUUCGUGGGGGAUAACGUAGGGAAACUUACGCUAAUACCGCAUACGACCUACGGGUGAAAGCAGGGGAUCUUCGGACCUUGCGCGAUUGAAUGAGCCGAUGUCGGAUUAGCUAGUUGGCGGGGUAAAGGCCCACCAAGGCGACGAUCCGUAGCUGGUCUGAGAGGAUGAUCAGCCACACUGGAAGUGAGACACGGUCCAGACUCCUACGGGAGGCAGCAGUGGGGAAUAGUGGACAAUGGGCGCAAGCCUGAUCCAGCCAUACCGCGUGGGUGAAGAAGGCCUUCGGGUUGUAAAGCCCUUUUGUUGGGAAAGAAAAGCAGCAGGUUAAUACCCCGCUGUUCUGACGGUACCCAAAGAAUAAGCACCGGCUAACUUCGUG